UACGGAGGGUGCAAGCGUUAUCCGGAAUCACUGGGUUUAAAGGGUGCGUAGGCGGUGUGGUAAGUCAGUCGUGAAAUUCCCCGGCUUAACCGGCGGGACUGCGAUUGAUACUGCCAUACUUGAAUCAGGUUGAGGUAGGCGGAAUGUGGCAUGUAGCGGUGAAAUGCUUAGAUAUGCCAUAGAACACCGAUUGCGAAGGCAGCUUGCUGGACCUUGAUUGACGCUGAGGCACGAAAGCGUGGGGAGCAAACAGG
rnacentral:rRNA from 1 species